rnacentral:rRNA from 1 species
AGUGAACGCUGGCGGUAGGCCUAACACAUGCAAGUCGAACGGCAGCACAGUAAGAGCUUGCUCUUACGGGUGGCGAGUGGCGGACGGGUGAGGAAUACAUCGGAAUCUACUUUUUCGUGGGGGAUAACGUAGGGAAACUUACGCUAAUACCGCAUACGACCUACGGGUGAAAGCAGGGGAUCUUCGGACCUUGCGCGAUUGAAUGAGCCGAUGUCGGAUUAGCUAGUUGGCGGGGUAAAGGCCCACCAAGGCGACGAUCCGUAGCUGGUCUGAGAGGAUGAUCAGCCACACUGGAACUGAGACACGGUCCAGACUCCUACGGGAGGCAGCAGUGGGGAAUAUUGGACAAUGGGCGCAAGCCUGAUCCAGCCAUACCGCGUGGGUGAAGAAGGCCUUCGGGUUGUAAAGCCCUUUUGUUGGGAAAGAAAAGCAGCAGGAUAAUACCCCGCUGUUCUGACGGUACCCAAAGACUAAGCACCGGCUAACUUCGUG